rnacentral:lncRNA from 1 species
GGCUGAGGCCGGGCGUGUUCCCGCGGUGUCCCGGGCUGAGGCCGGGCGUGUUCCCGCGGUGUCCCGGGCUGAGGCUGGGCGUAUUCUUCCGGUGUUUCUCACAUUCUUGUUUGGGAAACUAUAACGCGCUGCUCAAAGAUCAUCUUAAUUCUGAAAUACCCAAAAUCAAAACGCAAGAUAGUGAAGGCUAUAAAACUCUCACCGUAUAAAGAUUAACUGAUGUAAUAGAGGCUUUCCAUUUAUCUAUUCAAAACAGAUUACUUGCACAUCUGUUAGAUGCCAGGUCAUGGACUCACCUACCUCAUUUAUGCAGUGCAUGGUAUCUUGAGAUACUAAUACUUUGUCCUCCCUGGAUUUUUUCUUCUCCCCAGUGUAGCAGAGUGGGGCAUGGGCUAUGGAGUCAGCCCGCUAUGGCAUGUUCUACCACUAUACCCUCUCCAGCUAUUUCACCUGAAUGUUACUUAAUCUCUUCCUGCUUGAAUUUCCUCAUCUAUAAAAUGAAAAUCAUAUCAGUGAGCAUUAAAGACUUAAGACAUAGAAAGCAUUUAGAAAAGUGACAUCACAGACCUCAGUGCGACUCAUUAUGAUUUGCUAUUAUUAUUCUCUUCUUAGCCCUGAUUCAAACUGAUAGCACUUUCUUGUCUUGGAGAAAGUGUAUGACAGAGGAGAAAGCGGAAGUGUUUAGGAAAGUCACUCUGAGAAGGUGCCCUGUUUGAAACUGACCUCUGAGGCCAUCUUCCUGCCUGUGGAGAACAGCCCUGAUCCACAUUUGGUUUUCGGAUGUUUGUGAAUGGAUAAAAGUAGUUUGGUCCCUGUUGCCUCAGGGUGUUUUAAAACCGAAAUGGAAUAUAUCAAAGCAGUCAACCACAAACACAUACACCUGUGCCCUCAGAAGAGGCACAUGGAGCUAAGUGAUGACCCUACGCCAUGCAGAUACCUGGGAACGUGGCAUGAUUUCAGUAUCCAUGCUGCAGGAUCAUACACCAGGGAAUGCAUACGAUCCAAGAAGACAUUCUCUUCAGUAGCAAAUUCAUCAUGGUCAGAGGUUCUUUUAGGAUUGUCCGUAGUUGAUUGCAAAUUUGAGAAUAUGGAAUGAAGAUAAUAUGUACCGUACACAACUUAUGGGAAAUGUAAACCCACAACAUGGUACAUUUGCUGUGAAGUCGGUCUGGAUCACUUUCAAGGACUCAGAGAAUAUAUCCCACAGAACAAGACCGAAAAAAAAUGGUGAUUCUCCAAAGGCCACCAGUGAAGCAGUGAUGGAAGUUUGUAGAUAUCACCCCAAACACACUUAGGCUCCAGGAGGCCACCUCAACAAAUCCUGUGUUCAGUUUGGAGAUGGAGACUUUCUUCACCAUCCUGACUUGCUCAGUGCGACCUUGGGAAAAGAGAAGGAUGCAGCUGAGCUGCUGGUCCUGAGGUGCCUCAACUGCCUGGCCACUGCAUGCAAGGAUGCGGCUGAGCUGCUGGUCCUGAGGUCCCUCACCUGCCUGGCCACUGCAUGCAAGGAUGCGGCUGAGCUGCUGGUCCUGAGGUCCCUCACCUGCCUGGCCACUGCAUGCAAGGAUGCGGCUGAGCUGCUGGUCCUGAGGUCCCUCACCUGCCUGGCCACUGCAUGCAAGGAUGCGGCUGAGCUGCUGGUCCUGAGGUCCCUCACCUGCCUGGCCACUGCAUGCAAGGAUGCGGCUGAGCUGCUGGUCCUGAGGUCCCUCACCUGCCUGGCCACUGCAUGCAAGGAUGCGGCUGAGCUGCUGGUCCUGAGGUCCCUCACCUGCCUGGCCACUGCAUGCAAGGAUGCGGCUGAGCUGCUGGUCCUGAGGUCCCUCACCUGCCUGGCCACUGCAUUCCUCCCGCUGCCUCCCUUGUCUCUGUGGACCCGUCAGACUGCUGCCUCUGCUGAUUAGUGACACAAGACCAACAGUGGUUCUGGAGAGACAAACUACCAAAUUACACAGAUUUAGCACAUACGUGUGGAAAACAAAAAAUUCAGGGCAGAGUUUGGUUUAGGCAGACUUUUGUUAAACAAAUACAGUCAAAUCUGUUUCGGAUGAUUAUCUACAGAGUUGGACGCCAUGAGAAAGUCAAUCCUUUCAUAAAAAACAUGACUCAAAAGCUCAUUAACUAUUUUGGAAAAGAAAAACUCAGUAAACUCAUAAACUUUAAUGAAAAAAUUAACAUAUUAGGUUUUUUUAAUUUAAUAAUAUAAUGUCCCUGAAGUUCCAUGAUAUUUCUGAAGAAAUUGCCUUGUAUGAAGUCACACUGUUGGGGCUCAAGCUAAAAGCCAU